AGCAGUGUUCGAAAUAUCGGUAUCGCACAAUGUAUCGCACCCUUGGGAUACAGAUACGUAUCGGUUAUCGCACGGGAUAUAUUGUUUGUAUCGCAUAGUUUAUCGCACUUUUUGGGAAACAUGGGGAAACAUUAGCAAAAUGGUUGAAUUUUUUUAUGAAACUUUGGGGAUUAUUUAAAAAGACCUUAAUGCACACUUUUAAAUCAUAAAAUAUCAAAAAAGAAGUGCACAUAAUAAAUUUCCUUUGUAUAAGGUACAAAGUUAUGCGUUAUUUGAUUAAACUAAGGUAAAUAUAUUUAAAUAUGAUGCAUACCAUUUAUAAAUGUAUAAAGAUAUGUAUGAAAAUGAGUCACAUCCAAACAUCAAUUGGAAUUCAUUUUAACAUCCGGAUCCAAGACUCAAGUGGGCCGCACUAAAGAAAAAGGUGGGUAGGGAAAUUCCUACCGCUGAAACCUUCCUAGGUCGAGAGUGAUGUUUACAUUCCAUCCAUACCGUUCAUUACGUCAUCACUACUGGGAUGAAUUGAAUACCCAAAUAUUAGACUAAUUCAAAACCUGUGGCCCCACGAACAUUUCAACUGUGGACCUUCAAUCCUCACAUUUUCGGCC